GACGAACGCUGGCGGCGUGCUUAACACAUGCAAGUCGAACGGAAAGGCCCUGCUUUUGUGGGGUGCUCGAGUGGCGAACGGGUGAGUAACACGUGAGUAACCUGCCCUUGACUUUGGGAUAACUUCAGGAAACUGGGGCUAAUACCGGAUAGGAGCUCCUGCUGCAUGGUGGGGGUUGGAAAGUUUCGGCGGUUGGGGAUGGACUCGCGGCUUAUCAGCUUGUUGGUGGGGUAGUGGCUUACCAAGGCUUUGACGGGUAGCCGGCCUGAGAGGGUGACCGGCGACAUGGGGACUGAGAGACGGCCCAGACUGGAACGGGAGGCAGCAGUCGGGAAUAUUGCACAAUGGGCGGAAGCCUGAUGCAGCAACGCCGCGUGCGGGAUGACGGUCUUCGGGUUGUAAACCGCUUUCGCCUGAGACGAAGCGUGAGUGACGGUAAUGGAUAAAGAAGCACCGGCUAACUACGUG
rnacentral:rRNA from 1 species